rnacentral:rRNA from 1 species
UGGAAGGGGCGGCAGGCUACACAUGCAGUCGAGCGGUAACAGAUCCAGCUUGCUGGAUGCUGACGAGCGGCGGACGGGUGAGUAAUGCAUAGGAAUCUACCCGGUAGUGGGGGAUAACCUGGGGAAACCCAGGCUAAUACCGCAUACGUCCUACGGGAGAAAGGGGGCUUUGGCUCCCGCUAUCGGAUGAGCCUAUGCCGGAUUAGCUGGUUGGUGAGGUAACGGCUCACCAAGGCGACGAUCCGUAGCUGGUCUGAGAGGAUGAUCAGCCACAUCGGGACUGAGACACGGCCCGAACUCCUACGGGAGGCAGCAGUGGGGAAUAUUGGACAAUGGGGGCAACCCUGAUCCAGCCAUGCCGCGUGUGUGAAGAAGGCCCUCGGGUUGUAAAGCACUUUCAGCGAGGAAGAACGCCUGGUGGUUAAUACCCGCCAGGAAAGACAUCACUCGCAGAAGAAGCACCGGCUAACUCCGUGCCAGCAGCCGCGGUAAUACGGAGGGUGCAAGCGUUAAUCGGAAUUACUGGGCGUAAAGCGCGCGUAGGUGGCUUGAUAAGCCGGUUGUGAAAGCCCCGGGCUCAACCUGGGAACGGCAUCCGGAACUAUCAGGCUAGAGUGCAGGAGAGGAAGGUAGAAUUCCCGGUGUAGCGGUGAAAUGCGUAGAGAUCGGGAGGAAUACCAGUGGCGAAGGCGGCCUUCUGGACUGACACUGACACUGAGGUGCGAAAGCGUGGGUAGCAAACAGGAUUAGAUACCCUGGUAGUCCACGCCGUAAACGAUGUCGACCAGCCGUUGGGUGCCUAGCGCACUUUGUGGCGAAGUUAACGCGAUAAGUCGACCGCCUGGGGAGUACGGCCGCAAGGUUAAAACUCAAAUGAAUUGACGGGGGCCCGCACAAGCGGUGGAGCAUGUGGUUUAAUUCGAUGCAACGCGAAGAACCUUACCUACCCUUGACAUCCUGCGAACUUGAGAGAGAUCACUUUGGUGCCUUCGGAGCUGCAGAGACAGUGCUGCAUGGCUGUCGUCAGCUCGUGUUGUGAAUGUGGGGUAAGUCCCGUACGAGCGCAACCCUUGUCCUUUAUUUGCCAGCGAGUAAUGCCGGAACUUCUAAGAGACUGGCGGUGACAACGAAGGAGGUGGACGACGUCCAGUCAUCAUGGGCCUUAACGUAGCUUACCCGUGCUACAUUGCCGUACAGGCUGCGAGCUCGCGAAGUCAGCAAUUCCUUUAGCCGUCUCUCAGUCCGGCAAU